GAUCCUGUUACAACGUACAUCUCUUUGUUCCCUGCAACAGGUCAGUCUCAAAAAUUUGUUCGCUUCAAAGAAUUAAGACUGGCUCGCAUUGCAGGGACUUUGAAUUUUAUUUCAGUUUCAAAAUUUUCAUUCCUCUCUUCUUUCCUCGGCUCUACCAGAAACACCGCACUCGUUGUCCCCUUGUUCUUCUUCGAUCUUCCUCUCUGCUUUUUUCACCUUCCCCCCUUCUUCUUCCCUCUGCGUAUUUUCUCUCUCCUCUGCUUCUCAGUCACUCACCUCUACUCCUCUCAUCUGGUCCGGCAGAAAAAUAUUUUACAAGCAGACAUAGCUUCCCGUAAUUCAACCACGCAGACUUAGAUUGCAGGGAUUUUACAAGAAAACCUAGCACGACGGCACCAUUCCCUUCUCUUGCCGGGAUUUUAAUUUGGAAUUAUGUUUAGGAAAUAAGGGUUUGUGAAUUAGAAUUUGGAGAUUUGGGAGUUAGGGCUUUUCGUAUCGGCGGCAAAGCACCACUCGCGCGGAACCACUCCAUAACAGCGGCGUGCCCCUAGUGUUGGUCGACGGAGCAAGCUAGAAUUACUUUAAGGAGAAAAAAGCUACAAACUCUCUAAUCUCUAUACGAGAGUGAGAAUCAAAAGACAGAGGACGAGUUGUUCCUCGAGGCCACAGGUAGAUGGACUGACAAGGGAAGAGUAUUUGGUAUGGGAGCAUCAACAGACUCAUACUAUGAGAGACCAGGAGUUUAAGAGAGGAACGCAAAAAUAGUAUAGAGGGUUCUUCAAUACAUUGAUGAGAAAGCUACGUGCAAGGGGCACUACUGGUAUGCAAUUUUCUGGUUUUUAGUCCUAUCUUUUUAGGAUGAGUCCGAAAAUUCAGCUCGUAUCUUUUAGUUUCCGUCUUUUAUUAGGUAUAUGCCGCUACAGCCUCUAGUGUCGGUCUAUGUAAGCACAUUUAAUUUAAGGCUCAUUGGGUCGUUAUAGGUCAUAUUUAUGAAUAACUUCCUUUGAUUUAUAGCUAACCUAAAUAAUGCUUUUAUGGUCUCCAUUUACGGUGCGACAUUUAGCGAGCAUCAAAGCGAACUAAUUCUCAAACAAGUAAUCAUAACUACUUAGGUUUUGAGGAAUAAGUUUCAAUCAAGAAUGAUUUAUGAGAUGACUUUAAUAUCUUGAAAUGUUCUCAUGGUCACCCCGUAACACCCCAGUAUUUUUCUAAAAUAAUGUUUUGUAAAGAAAUUGGUUUAUAUUACUACUCAACUUUUAUUUAACUUUAUAUCUAUUCAAAGGGAAAGUUUAUUCUUAUAUCCGAUUAUUUUACAGCUUGAUUUUCUAAUUACUUCCAUUUAAAUACUAAUCAAAAGUCGUUACUAUCAUAUUUAUUCCCCAAAUAAAAGAAACAACUUUAUUCCUCUUAAUUGUACUAAUUAACCGUGCAUAGUGGAGCUUUACUUCUUUGAUUCUUAUUCUUAUUAGAUUUAUAACCUCCAUUGACUCUCCAUUUCAUAACACCCAAAGUGAGCUUAGACUUUUCAUUUCUUAUUCCCCUUCCUGCUUUUCUCAACCGUGAGUCCUACCCCUUUCCCUUCUGUUUUUGUUUCUCCUUCACCAAAAAAAAUAUCAAACAACAUAAAGUACUCUUACUCUUCUUGCGGGUCAUAAUAGUUUUGUAAGUGUUGCUUGUCCAAACGAUCGAUUUACAAGGUUGGUUUUACCCAUUGGUUUGUCUAUAAGGAGAAGAGCGUGACGGUUCCGAGGCGUGAUUUCGGUAUUCUAGCACUUCUCUCGUUGGUCGAGAUUUUCUUGAUUUUACACAAAAAUCUCAAACGAAGGAGAACAAGAACUCGUCGCUCUUUACCAGGACGAGUUUCCAAAUUCCGACGCUUUCGAUGCCGCUGCUAUUGAUAUGUGUGUUUUAUAUAGAGUUUUUACCCCCGUCCCUUAGUACUUUUCUGCAUCAAAUGGGCUCUUAGGAGUCGUUUUUAGUACUAAUAUGUGUUGUAAUGUGCCUGGAGUUUCAGGAUUUGUUCGAUGAGAAAUUAGCCUUUUUAGGCUCGUUUCGCAAUGAUAUAGGCCACUACACGGACCCCGAGUAGGUUCGGGAUGAUUACGGUCGACCCUUGGGAGCCUAGGAUGCCUAUGUUCGAGCCUCGAGAGUUAGACUUGGUGCUUUGAGUGAAGGACGAUGUAUUCUGCGAAUCGCCCUUUGAGUGGAGGGCGGAAUGAGAAAACCGGGCGAAGAAAAAGACUUCUGAAAGUUUCAACACGCGCCGGAUCGGGCGGAAUUUCGCCCGAUCGACCUGCUUGUCGAGCAUAAUGCCCGAUCGGGCGGUCGUCUGCCCGAUCGGGCGGCGCCAACCUCUAUGCCUUUUUCGCGAGUUUUAUUUCCGAUUUUGAGUUGUAUUUUGGGCAAACUAUAAAUACUAAGCCCUUUUAUUUUUAGUGACAUCUUAUUCCUUAGUUUCAAACACUUAGUUUUAUUCUCAUAGCUUAGUUUAUUCUCUCAAUUUGUUGCAACACUUAGUUUUUAAUUUCAAUCAAAAAUUCAAGCUUUCAUUAUUCA